UUAAACGGAAAACAAUGCUGCUCCUAGAAUUCAGCUACACGAGCCGGUCAGCCAAUUAGGCGCUAGCUGCCACAUUCUGUGCGUCGAAAUAAAACCCUAGUCUAAAAAAUCCCCAAAUACACCCGUGCCCACUCCCACCUGACUCGGAUCUCCUCUCACCGGCGGCGCCUCCAAGUCAGUCGCCGCCAGCAGCGCCACCCAAAAUCCCUCCCCUCCUCUGCCCUCUGGUCCGCCGCGCCACCCUCUCUCUGUUCGAUGCCACGUCCCCAGGCACCACUACACCGACACCAGCCUGCGACAUUUGCCGUCUGGUUCGACCUCCAUGCAACCUCCACCGCCACUUCUUGGAUGGCUCAAGACCAUCGCUCUCUCCAUCUCCGGCGCCUUGCCCAGCUUCGUUUCUCACCUCGUGCCUCACCAUGAUCCGGCCGCUGCCUCACCCUCCCGCCACCAUCAACUACUUGAAGAUCAGCUUCGUCUGACGAACCAACAAGACAGCGGUGGUGGAGAGAUCAGGUUUGGGAGAGGCAACCCGACGAUGCAAAGAGGCCAGGGGAUGAGUUGGAAACUCUUCAAGGAACCCGCGUGUAGCACCAUCAGAUCUGGUCCCCUUCCAACUAUUUGAUGAUCACCUCUCCCUGGUUGCAGUUAAUCUAGAUGAGGAGUAAGAAUGUUUCCCUUUUAUGCUGCAAGAUCAUUCAAUCUCCAGCAUGCUCAAGAACAUCUAAUGUGUGACUACACUCUGUGUCCAGAGUAUUAACAAUGAAACUGUAUUAGGAAUAGCCUUUUAUUAGAAGCUAUAUGCACAAGAAAUUAAUAUUCUAUGAUAAUAGUUAAUAAGUUAAACAUAUGUUGAGGGCUCCUAUCAUGGGCCAUACCAUGUCUUCUUAGUUGCUAGGUACUGUAAAAUCUGUAUAUUAAAAGGUUUAUUCAGAUGCUAAUACUGCUCGGUGAAAGAGAAAGUUAUUAUGUUAAUUCUGUAAUAUUUUUUCUCCAUGCGAUCGCUUGUCAGUAUAUUGUUUCUCUUCUGUUUUAUUCCACUAUAAUGCAGGUGCAUUAAAUAUUAAUUGACUGCUCACUGUAGGUAGUAGGUUAAGUUUGCAAUAUCAAGAUAAUCUUAUCAGCCUUGCAAUGUUGGUACAGUCUGAAGCUUAAUCUUUUUACUACUUGCUUCUCCACUUCCUAUUGUUUUACAGUCCAGUACUUGACAAUUCCUUACCUGGUUGUGUAUGCUUAACAUUUAAGCUCAUUGUCCUUUGCCCAUAAUUUGUAUUUUUAUUUGUUGUAUUUAGAAUGAGGAAGCAUCAAGCAUCGUACAACUGUAGUGCAAGUACACAAGUAGCUGUAGCUGCUGGAGAAGAUGAGCAAGCACACAACAGAUUCAAAUACUGUAGUCUACUGUACUAGUACUAGUUGCUUAUGGCACUUAGUUGCAUCUAAGGUGAUGAACGGCCAAAUUCGUAGCAUGUCUAAAUCAAUUCAGAUAUGAGAAAACACAGACUUAAUAGGAAUAAGGUGGCCUGCGAUGGUCUGGUGGCGACCUUUAGAGUUUAGAUAUUAAAUCAUUCUGAGAUUGUUCAAUAUUGAAUGGAUGCCACUCCUUACUAAAAACAUUUUUGUGUUUGCUUUGCUAAGUACAUUACUGAUCUGUUUUUUAUGGUUUUUUUAUGAUGUGUUGAUCUAAACUUGUGUAUUAACCAAAGCAUCAAACAACUAUACUUAUGCAGCUAAUUAUGAAAUAUGUUAAGUAGCACAAUACUUAAAAGUGCAGUGGGGAUCCAUGUAAAUUAUUUUGACCGACAACUUUUUAUACCAGUUUGUGUCUUCUUGUUCUGCCAAACAAAUUUAUUGUUUUAUCGCCCCAUCUUCAUGCCGCAAAUCUAGCUAAUAAUGUACUCAGGUUCAUAAUUUCAUAGAUUGUAAGCUUCUUAGUGGCAUUCUUAUACCUUGUUAUCUUGUAUGUUUUCAUCUCAUUAAGAUGUAACACACUGUUGUAUUUCAUUAAUUUAUAUAGGCACCGGGAGGAGUUCAAGACAGAGCAUGUGAUUUGGCUGAAGCAACUCAGCAAGCAAAUAAUCCAAAGCUGAUGGUGAAUGAAGGCCAUCUUUUGUGAUAGAAAGAUAGUUUGUAGAAUCAUACAUUGCAAUCAUGAGAACAACACAUAUGGUCUUUUUAGUUAUCUAUAGAUAUCACUUAUCGUCUUGUCUAUUGUCAGGCCAAACUUGAGUCGGUGCUAUUAUUUAUUGUCAUUUCUAUUUAUGAGUAUGAUUUAUAUUUCAUUUCAAUUUAUAA